AAAGGAGAAAGUUGGCUGUCAUACGGAAUGCAUCGUUACUUACAUAUAAAGACUAGAAACACGUGGUGGGAUGCUAAGUACGAGUGUGAAAAGCUAGGUGCCUACUUGGUUACCAUAGGAACAGAAGAAGAAAAUUCAUGGUUAAGAGAAACCUUUUUGCCAGUCUGGGAUCCCGCGACAUGUAACCCUUGGUGGGAUUGUUGUUCACAUUGGACAGGUGCCAACGAUAUUG